rnacentral:rRNA from 1 species
GGCGCAUUAGCUAGUUGGUGAGGUAACGGCUCACCAAGGCGACGAUGCGUAGCCGGCCUGAGAGGGUGGUCGGCCACACUGGGACUGAGACACGGCCCAGACUCCUACGGGAGGCAGCAGUAGGGAAUCUUCCGCAAUGGGCGAAAGCCUGACGGAGCGAUGCCGCGUGAGCGAGGAAGGCCUUCGGGUCGUAAAGCUCUGUUGUCAGGGAAGAAGGACUCGGGUUCGAAUAGGGCCUGAGGGUGACGGUACCUGACGAGGAAGCCCCGGCUAACUACGUGCCAGCAGCCGCGGUAAUACGUAGGGGGCGAGCGUUGUCCGGAAUCACUGGGCGUAAAGGGCGCGUAGGCGGCCGGUUAAGUCUGGUGUCAAAGGCCACGGCUCAACCGUGGGGAGGCACUGGAAACUGGCCGGCUUGAGUGCAGGAGAGGGAAGCGGAAUUCCCGGUGUAGCGGUGAAAUGCGUAGAGAUCGGGAGGAACACCAGUGGCGAAGGCGGCUUCCUGGCCUGUGACUGACGCUGAGGCGCGAAAGCGUGGGGAGCGAACAGGAUUAGAUACCCUGGUAGUCCACGCCGUAAACGAUGAGUGCUAGGUGUUGGGGGCGUAGGCCCUCAGUGCUGAAGGAAACCCAAUAAGCACUCCGCCUGGGGAGUACGGCCGCAAGGCUGAAACUCAAAGGAAUUGACGG